rnacentral:rRNA from 1 species
UACGAAGGGUGCAAACGUUGCUCGGAAUCAUUGGGCGUAAAGCGCACGUAGGCGGCGCAGUAAGUCGGACGUGAAGAUCCCUCGGCUCAACCGAGGACGUGCAUCCGAAACUACUGUGCUCGAGUAUGGAAGAGGGUCGCGGAAUUCUCGGUGUAGAGGUGAAAUUCGUAGAUAUCGGGAGGAACACCAGUGGCGAAGGCGGCGACCUGGGCCAAUACUGACGCUGAGGUGGCGAAAAGCGUGGGGAGCAACAGG